ACGCGUUAAAAUAUUUCGUCGCGUUUAAUUAAAGAAAAUAGUACGGUAGUUGUGUUAAAGUUAUUAAAUUAGUGCUUAAUGUGGUAUUAAAGUUAAAGUGCAAAUAAUAGUAGUGAAAUAUUCUCUCGAUCGAAAGUGUUUUGGUGUAAAAAUGCAGAUAAUAGUGGGCCACUCAAUAUACUUUGAAGAUCCGACGCAACCGCCGUAGCUGCAAAAAUUACUAAAAUAUCGGGUUUUAUCGUCAAUUUACAAAGUGUUAAUUAUGAAAUAUACUUGUGAAACUGCGGAUGAUUGCAUUUAUUUGUUAAAAAUAACAGAUUUAAAUGGAAAAUUAAAAUAAGCAUUUGCAUACGCUCGCAUUCAUAAAUGCACAUAUGAAAGGAGAAAAAGAGAAGUGCAAGGAAAUAUAACUGUAAAGUUGCAUCCAUUUUUGUUCAUAUGUUUGUGAAUGAUGAAGAGCAAGAAAACGUCAAAUAUUAAAAAAAAAUGUAAAAUAUAUUCUCGGUUCGUUGUUCGUUUGAAUUUUAUAGCGUUUAAUUAAAAAUAUAGUGCGGUACGGGUGUAAAAAUUAUUAAAAUAGUGCUAAAUGUGACGUUAAAGUAAAAGUUUAAAUAGUAGUAGUGAAAUAAUCUCUCGAUCGAAAGUGUUUUGGUGUAAAAUGAAGAUAAUAGUGAGCCACUCAAUAAACUUUGAAGAUCCGAUACCACCACCGAAGCUUCAGAAAUUACUAAAAUAUCGGGUUUAAUCGUCAAUUUACAAAGUGUUAAUUAUGAAAUAUACGUGUAAAACUGCGGAUGAUUGAUUUAAUUGUUGAAAAUAAUAGAUUUAAAUGGCAAAACCAAAGUGAGCACUUGCAUACGUUGCCAUUCAUGAAUGCACAUAUGAAAGGAGAAAUAGAGAAGUGCAAUGAAAUAUAACUGUAAAGUUGAAUGCAUUUUUGUUCCACCGUUUGUGAAUGAUGAUGUGCAAGAAAACGUCAAAAGGUUAAAAAAAUUGUAAAAGAUUUUCCCGGUUCGUUGUUCGUUUGAAAAUUUGUAUGUGUUUGUGUAUACAAAUAACGGAAAAAUAAAGUGUUCUUUGUGUUUGCAUUUAGAAAACGAACAUAUCUAAGCAUGGAUACACAUACAUACAUAUGUGAGUACUGUAAAAUAAUGUAUAGAUAAUAAGUAUGUAAUAGUUUUCGCACAAACCAGUACGUACUUUUAUAUAUGAAAAUGUAUCAUUUUUCUAAUGUCUUACAAAAUAUGUGAAAAUUGAGUGGCCGUAAUUUUCUUAUGUGUGUUUAAUUGUGUAAAGUGGUAAAUUCGAGUAUAAAUGACGAAGCGUCGCAGAUUGGAUUUAAAUUAUGUAGCAGCAAUUAAAGUGUUCUGUGUUGUGUUGUGUUCUUGUAGUGAUCAGUAAAGGAAAUGGGCAUAAUUUGCUCACAAUCGAGUCCGUAGCUCGAGUCAAGUUGCAAGUGCGGUUUGCAAAAUGUGUUUUUUAUAGUGUUGUUGUAGCAGUGGCAAGUCAAUUUAAUGGAUUUGUAGUUAUUGCUGUUCACUACAUUUGCCGCUUAUUACUAGCCUAAAUGAUGGUGAUCAUCAGCAGUUGUUGCUGACAGUUGCGAGCAACAAUAA
rnacentral:lncRNA from 1 species